AGAAGGCCUUCGGGUUGUAAAGCUCUUUCGGCAGGAACGAAACGGUGGUCCCUAAUACGGAUUGCUAAUGACGGUACCUGAAGAAGAAGCACCGGCUAACUACGUGCCAGCAGCCGCGGUAAUACGUAGGGGUGCGAGCGUUAAUCGGAAUUACUGGGCGUAAAGCGUGCGCAGGCGGUUAUGUAAGACAGAUGUGAAAUCCCCCGGGCUUAACCUGGGAACUGCGUUUGUGACUGCAUAACUCGAGUGUGGCAGAGGGGGGUGGAAUUCCACGUGUAGCAGUGAAAUGCGUAGAGAUGUGGAGGAACACCGAUGGCGAAGGCAGCCCCCUGGGUCAACACUGACGCUCAUGCACGAAAGCGUGGGGAGCAAACAGGAUUAGAUACCCUGGUAGUCCACGCCCUAAACGAUGCGAACUAGGUGUUGGGGAAGGAGACUUUCUUAGUACCGCAGCUAACGCGUGAAGUUCGCCGCCUGGGGAGUACGGUCGCAAG
rnacentral:rRNA from 1 species